rnacentral:rRNA from 1 species
UACGAAGGGGGCUAGCGUUGCUCGGAAUCACUGGGCGUAAAGGGUGCGUAGGCGGGUUUUUAAGUCAGAGGUGAAAUCCUGGAGCUCAACUCCAGAACUGCCUUUGAUACUGAAAGUCUUGAGUAUGGGAGAGGUGAGUGGAACUGCGAGUGUAGAGGUGAAAUUCGUAGAUAUUCGCAAGAACACCAGUGGCGAAGGCGGCUCACUGGCCCAUAACUGACGCUGAGGCACGAA